rnacentral:misc_RNA from 1 species
GUUGGUGAACCAGCGGAGGGAUCAUUACCGAGUUUACAACUCCCAAACCCCUGUGAACAUACCUUACUGUUGCCUCGGCGGAUCAGCCCGCUCCCGGUAAAACGGGACGGCCCGCCAGAGGACCCCUAAACUCUGUUUCUAUAUGUAACUUCUGAGUAAAACCAUAAAUAAAUCAAAACUUUCAACAACGGAUCUCUUGGUUCUG